AAUCACUAUACAUGCGUUAUAACAAGGUGAUAGUAAUUCAGUGAAUAGAGCUUGUACAGGGCAUAAACACCUCUUUGACCAAUAAUCGAUGUGUAUUGGUUGAAUAACAAAACGACCCUUAUUUAUUGUUACCCUGGCAACCCGCCGUGUUUGAUUGACGUUUGAUUUAAUAAUUCUGAUACAACUCAUAAUUCUAAUCUAAUAGAAACUCCAAAACCUCAGACAAAGAGGACUAGAAUUUUACAUAAAAAGCCGCGUUCUGCAGUACAAAAGUUAGAAUAGGCAUCUCAAAUAGUGGAAAGUGCCAAACUCCGCAUCACGGUAGUGUUCCAGUGUUUGCAGGAAGAGCACGAAACAAAACAAAGGCAGAUGGCUGAAAUACAUGAGCUCAAACAGAAGCAACUUGCCGAAGCUCACGAAAGGGCUAGACAGGAGCAUCUUCUAAGGCUCAAAUUGUUACAGCAGCAAUUAAAUGAAUAAUUAUAUACUUAUAAAAAAAAUAAAACCCCUGUUUUAAAUGAAA